UAUUGUCAAAAACUACUAUCUGAAGUAUGAUUUGGAAAGUAGUUUUGGAGUAUGGGAGUAUGCAGGUUCAUAUUUUAUUUGGACUAGCUCUCCUGAAAUGGAUUAGCAAAAAGCUGAUUAUGAACCUUUAUUGGUGUGAUAAAGUUGAUUGAUCACCAGGAAAUGAAAAAAGGGGGAACAUUUUGGAGCAUUUUGCUGGUAAUGAGAGAAAUGAUAA
rnacentral:misc_RNA from 1 species